GGGGACGUACAGAUUCGACGGAUUUGCACUUUAACAAUCGCAAGCUGUUUAGGAAACAUUAAACAUUAAAUAUUGUUUCAAAAAUAAAUGCUAAGGCAAAAAACCUUACAUCCCAAAUGGGGCAACUUUUAGCCCUCCGUGGUUUUAACCAACCACAGUUGGCUUAUUUAGGCGCCGCAUAAGGGUAUUUUAGGCUAAUCUCUAUCUGAUGGAAUGCUUAAGAUAUGUACAACAGUCAGAUUGCUGUCCCGAUAGUUUUGUUUGAUCUAUCGGGAUUUAAGACAACUCAAUCAAGUAUUGGUUUUCCUGCUAGAAGGUUACAAUCAUUACUUAAAAAUAUUCUAGCUAAGCUUGUAGAAGUUGUUAUUUUAUAAAUUCACACAGGGCUCAAUGCCCUCGUCUCCACCC
rnacentral:tmRNA from 1 species